ensembl:lncRNA
GGUGUCUGGCCUGAGACUUUCCCUGGUGUCUGGCCUGAGACUUUCCCUGGUGUCUGGCCUGAGACUUUCCCUGGUGUCUGGCCUGAGACUUUCCCUGGACUUAAACCCUGGUGUUGCACCAAGUGCAAUUGGACCUCCAUCUCCUAGCCUGGUCCCAGAUCUGCCCAUCUCCUAGCCUGGUCCCAGAUCUGCCCAUCUCCUAGCCUGGUCCCAGAUCUGUUUGUGUACUGUCUUGACCGUAGGCUACCGGUUUCCUACUCUGCUGAUGAGACGAAGGAUAUGACGAUGAUGUGGUUCUGUUUACUUCUAUCUGUCUUGUCAAAUCUUUUGAUACAAACUUAUAAAUAUUAAUAUGGCUCAUAUUGGAUUUGUCACAAAUGGCACCCUAUUCCUUAUAUAGUGCACUACUUUUGACCAGGGCCUUAUGGGGGGGGGGGUGCACUAUGUAGGGAAUAGGGUGCCAUUUGGGGGACACACACUCUGGCUUUGUUUUUAAUGACAGGAAGAGGAAUGAAAAGUAACAGCAAUAAAGGAAUACAGCUCUCUGAAUGAGAUGUCGCUGUAUUCCACUAUAACAGGAUAUGAGGAAUAUAUUACAUCCUGUUUUGAAACAUUUCAGAUUUGUUAUUGGAAGACAAGACCGUAUAAAAAAAAAAUAUAUAUAUAUAUAUAAUAAUAAUAACAUUUCAUCUUUCAGAUUCAAUAUUGUGUUGUUCCAGGAGUUUGAAACAAUUAUUCAAUAUAAUAAAAUGCAUGUAAAAAUUUGAAGUUAACUAUUUGCUUUAAGGUUUGCAGUUAGCUGACUAGUAGAUGAGUCAAAUUCUUUGGAAUUCUAGUCAAUUCAGAAAGUAAAGUCAAUUGCUAUUCCGAGUUGUCCUCCAUUUUUAAAAAGCGUUUUGAAUGGAGAUUUCAGUGGACUUCUUGAAUUGACUGAAAUUGACCCCCAAACCCCUCCUGAUACUAGCACAGUAUGUGGAGGCUUGAACUUGAUUAGGGAGAGAAACAAACUGCUUUAGACUGCUUCAUGAUGUACCCAACUAUCUGUGAAUGAGAGACUGCUUGCCUUGCAGUUCUAGUGGACCAAAGUAUCAAGUGUCUCUGGAGGGUAUGUCCAAAAUCGUACCCUUUUCCCUAAUAUAGUACACCAUUUUUUUUUUUUUUUUUGACCAGAGUCAUGUCCCCGGUGGGGAUUGUACUUCACAAACAGGAGAUGGAGUCAUGCUGGCUUGGACAAAGCUACUCUGGUCAAAAGUAGUGCACUAUGUAGGGAACAAAUGGCUCACUGUAGCAGAACAGGGUCUGUUUGGAAUCCAUUCUGUCUAUUUCAAUUGUACAGAUGUUAUAUUAUUUUUUAAACAUGUUACGAUAUGUAUAUUUAUGAAGUUUGAUAGAUACCAUUUUUUUUUUUUGCUUUAUGAUGCCUAAUUUAUUUAAAGUUUUUGAUGAUUAUUAUUGUAGGUAUUUAAUCUAUAAGUAGCGGGAAAACAAAAAGGCUGGACAAACUUCUGUUAAAAAAUAAAAACAAGUUUUAUUUUUUAUUUCAUAUGAAUUGUACUAUGAAGCAGAAUAAUCUACAGCUGGAAACUGUGCCAUAGCAGGAGAAAUUAAAGCUUUAUCAAACCAUACCAAGGUGUACAGUCUUCAUUGUAUACUAAUUGUGUUUAUACUAUUAUUAUAUACAUGUAACUGACAAAAUAAAGGAAGUACUUGAGUAAAUGAGGUAUACGAACUAUGUUGAAUACAGGUGUGGUUAACUUUAGUUCUAAACCAUGUGAUCACCAGUCUCUAACAUGGCUUUAACUUUAGUUCUAAACCAUGUGACCACCAGUCCCUAACAUGGCUUUAACUUUAGUUCUAUGCCAUAUAAGACUCAUUAGAAUAUAUGAAGAGAACAGUUCAGAAUAUUAGGGAUCAAUGAAAGAAAGCACACACAUUAAUCUCCUGGAAUAUUUAAAAAUACUCUAAUCUUGUAUAUUAUUUAGCAUUAGGAAAAUAUAAAUAAUAAUGAAAACGGGACUGGAGAGCCUUUACGGACUAAAUGUAUUGAUGAAUCAAAAAUACAGUGGUUUGAUUCCUCCUGAAAGUUGCCAUGUUUUAAUUGAUAAAUCCACAAAAUACUGGAAGGUGAGAAGUGUACAAUCAGGGGUUGACCAGUAGUCUUAUAAAUCUACCCUGAUAAUCCUUCCUAUAUCAUGGAACUGUGAUGACAACAGUCCGGUCAUCGUGAACCGUGCUUCAGGCUCCAGGUUUAAUCUGCUACAUAUGGCCUGCUUUCCAUAAUGAUUCCCAUAGGCUACAUGUCCCAGACUAUUUCACAGCUUGUAAGGCAUUAGCCUAAUAUGAUCCACUAUUGCUAGCUAUCCUCAGGAACAACCAUGGGCGCAACUUUCAGUGGGGAUGGGGACAUGUCCCAACCACAUUCUGAAAUGGCAUUUUUGUCCCCCCCCCAAUGUUAUCAUUGGAAUGUGAUACAAAACAAGGUGUUCUUUAGGACCAUACGGACGCCUCCAAGAGGUCGGGUAAGCUGUUUUGAAGUUGUUUAAUGAGUUAAUGUGUUAAGUGUUUUAUACAACUUGGUUUUAGGACCCAGUGAAGGCAAAGCUUCUGGAAGGCUGGCUGGACUGGCAUGGGAGAGUUGAGCAUAGUUCAGUGUGUACGUGUUGCGCUCUUCCACUGAGUUGUAAAAGGAAGCAGAACAGAAACUGGCUACUCUUUAGAUGACUGAUGUAGCUGGCAAGUUAACUGCUGUUUAACAGAAAAAAAACUCAUCAGGAACAAACACAGGAAUGAGACGGAGGAAAGGUAAAAUAACGAUGCAAAGGAAAUUAACUAUGAAGUCUGUGACCGUUGUAAAUGUACAGUAGGUGGAUUUAACUGACAAUAUAAUGAGAACAUUUUAGAAAUCAGAAAUCAACUCAGUAGUUUUGGUGCUAUACUGUCAUUUUCACAUGGCAACAGAAGCCUAUAGUUUGGGUCUCCAGAUUUCAUCCCUGAAAGGUUAUAAGGCCACUAUGUCAUAAACAGCCCUGUGGUAAAGGUGAUAUAUAUAUAUAUUGAUAUGCUUCAGCCUGCUGCAAUAUGACUGGUUUCACAUUUGUCUCCAGCGAUCCUAAGGUAAAACAAUUGUCAUUUAUAUUUAUAAUCCCCUUAAUCAAACAGCGUACUAAUGUAGCUCUUAUCAAUUCGUAAAUUACAGUGCAGGAGGAUUUUUUAUUUUUUAUUUCACCUUAAUUUAACCAGGUAGGCUAGUUGAGAACAAGUUCUCAUUUACAAUUGCGACCUGGCCAAGAUAAAGCAAAGCAGUUCGACACAAACAAC